rnacentral:rRNA from 1 species
CUACGGGAGGCAGCAGUGGGGAAUCUUGCACAAUGGGCGAAAGCCUGAUGCAGCAACGCCGCGUGCGGGAAGAAGGCCCUAGGGUUGUAAACCGCUUUCAGUAGGGAAGAAAAUGACGGUACCUACAGAAGAAGGUGCGGCCAACUACGUGCCAGCAGCCGCGGUGACACGUAGGCACCAAGCGUUAUCCGGAUUUAUUGGGCGUAAAGAGCUCGUAGGCGGUUCGGUAAGUCGGGUGUGAAAACUCUGGGCUCAACCCAGAGAGGCCACCCGAUACUGCUGUGACUAGAGUGCGGUAGGGGAGCGGGGAAUUCCUGGUGUAGCGGUGAAAUGGCGCAGAUAUCAGGAGGAACACCAGCGGCGAAGGCGCCGCUCUGGGCCGUAACUGACGCUGAGGAGCGAAAGCAUGGGUAGCAAACAGGAUUAGAUACCCUGGUAGUCCAUGCCGUAAACGUUGGGCACUAGGUGUGGGUCUCAACCAACGAGAUCCGCGCCGUCGCUAACGCAUUUAAGNCCCCGGCCUGGGAGGUACGGUCGCAGACUAAACUACAAGAUAGAGCGNGAGAGNGCGACGACGACGACGAGGAGGAG